CUAGAUAGAUAUAGGAAGAUGUGGUGUGAGUGCCAAUGAGACAACUCUCCAUACAAAUAACAAUUUAAAAAGUAAACCAUUAUAGGUUAAAGUACGGCCUUCAACACCGAACAACAAGCUAUAAAGGGCCCCAAAAUUACUAGUGUAAAACCAUUCAAACGGGAAAACCAACGGUCUAAUCUAUAUAAACAAAACGAGAAACGAGAAACACGUAUAUAUUACAUAAACAAACGAC
rnacentral:lncRNA from 1 species